AGCUAGUUUUACAAAGAUGUUUAUUUUUUAGACUCUGAGCGUAGCGAGAGAGCUAUUGGUUUUACAAUGCAGUUUAUUGUUGCCUUAUUUGUUCUAGUCUGUAGGCACGAUUUUUCCUAACAAACUUACUCCGAUUUUUACACGUAGCAAAUUUUCUGAAAGCUCAAGUUAUCUAGACGGUCUUUUAAACAGUUUAUUUUU